GCCCUUUUAACCCAAUAGUAGAGUAAUGCCAUGGUAAGUCACAAGCCAUCGGUUCAAAUCCGAUAGAGGGCU
rnacentral:tRNA from 1 species